rnacentral:tRNA from 1 species
GGGUAUAGCUCAGUGGUAGAGCACAUGCUUAGUAAGCAUGAGGUCCUAGGUUCAAUCCCCAGUAAAUCCA